rnacentral:misc_RNA from 1 species
AACGCACAUUGCGCCCUCUGGUAUUCCGGAGGGCAUGCCUGUUCGAGCGUCAUAAAUACCGCUCCCCCUCGGAUUGCUUGCGGUCCCUGGGGGGUUCUGGCAAUGUGGAUUCCCCGUGCUUUGAGGGCAUGCGAACGGGCUCCCAGUGCUGAAAGACAUAAUGUUCCCAGCCGAAACCGGUGAUUAAUUUCAUCGGCAGGAUUCGUGGCAGGCAGACUGAGGGCGUCAACCGUGGAGUCAUGAGGGUAGAAACCUCCCCCUUUGCAAGUAACAUUGCUCUGGCAGUUAGAUCUGCAGGCCUGCCGGUCUGGGGAUGGACCUCCCACUCGCAGGCGUCACGGCCACGAUAGCGGGCGUUAAACGGAAUCCGAUCCGCCCUCACGGGUGGUUGAAGAUCCUUGUGGGCUAGCAACCCCUAAACACAUUUUGACCUCGGAUCAGGUAGGGAUACCCGCUGAACUUAA